GCUCCUGUAGUUCAACAGGAUAGAACGACUCUCUCCUAAGGAGUAAAUACAGGUUCGAGCCCUGUCGGGGGUA
rnacentral:tRNA from 1 species